UAAUUGUGUGUUUCAAUUGUGGUUUGUGAACGAAUUCAGUUCCGAGAACGCACAUUGACGAUGAGUAUGCUUAUGCUGCGGAAAAGGAUCCUAAAAUUUUGCUGACUACUUCCAGGGAUCCGAGUGCUCCUCUUCAACAGUUUGUUAAGGAGUUGAGUUUUGUGUUUCCCAAUGUGCAGAGGGUGAAUCCCGAUGGUCAGAUGUGCUAAGUGAAGAUCAUUUUCUUCAAAGGAUCGAAUUGCAUAUUCUGUAAUUCAGUAUGUGAGUUUGGUUUGGUUUUCUUACUCUUAGAUAUAUGACCAUGAUGACUCAAGUUCAGCACUAAGGUUAUGAUUUCAUAUUUAUUUAUUUGAUUUGUGGUUCCCAAGGAUUAAUAGUCCUUAUUAUUUAUUUGAUUUUUGGUUCCUAAUAAUUAUCUUUUCUUUAUGUGAUUGUAGGUUUUUUUUUCAUGCCAACCAUGUUAUUGUAAACAUUGCUUGUCUAGAUUAUCCCAAUUAAUUGUGGUG